GGUUAAGCGACUAAGCGUACACGGUGGAUGCCCUGGCAGUCAGAGGCGAUGAAGGACGUGCUAAUCUGCGAAAAGCGACGGCGAGGUGAUAUGAACCUUUGACCCGUCGAUGUCCGAAUGGGGAAACCCAGUGCAAUCCGUUGCACUAUCGUUAACUGAAUACAUAGGUUAACGAGGCGAACCGGGGGAACUGAAACAUCUAAGUACCCCGAGGAAAAGAAAUCAACCGAGAUUCCCCCAGUAGCGGCGAGCGAACGGGGAGCAGCCCGGAGUCUGAAUCAGCUUGUGUGUUAGUGGAAGCGUCUGGAAAGUCGCACGGUACAGGGUGACAGUCCCGUACACGAAAAUGCACAGGUUGUGAACUCGAAGAGUAGGGCGGGACACGUGGUAUCCUGUCUGAAUAUGGGGGGACCAUCCUCCAAGGCUAAAUACUCCUGACUGACCGAUAGUGAACCAGUACCGUGAGGGAAAGGCGAAAAGAACCCCGGCGAGGGGAGUGAAAAAGAACCUGAAACCGUGUACGUACAAGCAGUGGGAGCACCUUCGUGGUGUGACUGCGUACCUUUUGUAUAAUGGGUCAGCGACUUAUAUUCUGUAGCAAGGUUAACCGUAUAGGGGAGCCGCAGGGAAACCGAGUCUUAACUGGGCGUUAAGUUGCAGGGUAUAGACCCGAAACCCGGUGAUCUAGCCAUGGGCAGGUUGAAGGUUGGGUAACACUAACUGGAGGACCGAACCGACUAAUGUUGAAAAAUUAGCGGAUGACCUGUGGCUGGGGGUGAAAGGCCAAUCAAACCGGGAGAUAGCUGGUUCUCCCCGAAAGCUAUUUAGGUAGCGCCUCGUGAACUCAUCUUCGGGGGUAGAGCACUGUUUCGGCUAGGGGGCCAUCCCGGCUUACCAACCCGAUGCAAACUACGAAUACCGAAGAAUGUUAUCACGGGAGACACACGGCGGGUGCUAACGUCCGUCGUGAAGAGGGAAACAACCCAGACCGCCAGCUAAGGUCCCAAAGUCAUGGUUAAGUGGGAAACGAUGUGGGAAGGCACAGACAGCCAGGAUGUUGGCUUAGAAGCAGCCAUCAUUUAAAGAAAGCGUAAUAGCUCACUGGUCGAGUCGGCCUGCGCGGAAGAUGUAACGGGGCUAAACCAUGCACCGAAGCUGCGGCAGCGACGCUUAUGCGUUGUUGGGUAGGGGAGCGUUCUGUAAGCCGUCGAAGGUGUGCUGUGAGGCAUGCUGGAGGUAUCAGAAGUGCGAAUGCUGACAUAAGUAACGAUAAAGCGGGUGAAAAGCCCGCUCGCCGGAAGACCAAGGGUUCCUGUCCAACGUUAAUCGGGGCAGGGUGAGUCGACCCCUAAGGCGAGGCCGAAAGGCGUAGUCGAUGGGAAACAGGUUAAUAUUCCUGUACUUGGUGUUACUGCGAAGGGGGGACGGAGAAGGCUAUGUCAGCCGGGCGACGGUUGUCCCGGUUUAAGCGUGUAGGUGUGUGUUCCAGGCAAAUCCGGUUCACUUUAACACUGAGGCGUGAUGACGAGGCACUACGGUGCUGAAGUGAUAAAUGCCCUGCUUCCAGGAAAAGCCUCUAAGCAUCAGGUAACACGAAAUCGUACCCCAAACCGACACAGGUGGUCAGGUAGAGAAUACCAAGGCGCUUGAGAGAACUCGGGUGAAGGAACUAGGCAAAAUGGUGCCGUAACUUCGGGAGAAGGCACGCUGAUAUGUAGGUGAAGUCCCUGCGGACGGAGCUGAAAUCAGUCGAAGAUACCAGCUGGCUGCAACUGUUUAUUAAAAACACAGCACUGUGCAAACACGAAAGUGGACGUAUACGGUGUGACGCCUGCCCGGUGCCGGAAGGUUAAUUGAUGGGGUUAGCGGCAACGCGAAGCUCUUGAUCGAAGCCCCGGUAAACGGCGGCCGUAACUAUAACGGUCCUAAGGUAGCGAAAUUCCUUGUCGGGUAAGUUCCGACCUGCACGAAUGGCGUAAUGAUGGCCAGGCUGUCUCCACCCGAGACUCAGUGAAAUUGAACUCGCUGUGAAGAUGCAGUGUACCCGCGGCAAGACGGAAAGACCCCGUGAACCUUUACUAUAGCUUGACACUGAACACUGGUCCUUGAUGUGUAGGAUAGGUGGGAGGCUUUGAAGCGUGGACGCCAGUCUGCGUGGAGCCGUCCUUGAAAUACCACCCUUUAAUGGCUGGUGUUCUAACGUGGACCCGUGAUCCGGGUUGCGGACAGUGUCUGGUGGGUAGUUUGACUGGGGCGGUCUCCUCCCAAAGAGUAACGGAGGAGCACGAAGGUUAGCUAAUCCUGGUCGGACAUCAGGAGGUUAGUGCAAUGGCAUAAGCUAGCUUGACUGCGAGAGUGACGGCUCGAGCAGGUGCGAAAGCAGGUCAUAGUGAUCCGGUGGUUCUGAAUGGAAGGGCCAUCGCUCAACGGAUAAAAGGUACUCCGGGGAUAACAGGCUGAUACCGCCCAAGAGUUCAUAUCGACGGCGGUGUUUGGCACCUCGAUGUCGGCUCAUCACAUCCUGGGGCUGAAGUAGGUCCCAAGGGUAUGGCUGUUCGCCAUUUAAAGUGGUACGCGAGCUGGGUUUAGAACGUCGUGAGACAGUUCGGUCCCUAUCUGCCGUGGGCGCUGGAGAAUUGAGGGGGGCUGCUCCUAGUACGAGAGGACCGGAGUGGACGCAUCACUGGUGUUCGGGUUGUCAUGCCAAUGGCACUGCCCGGUAGCUAAAUGCGGAAGAGAUAAGUGCUGAAAGCAUCUAAGCACGAAACUUGCCCCGAGAUGAGUUCUCCCUGAGACUAUAAGUCUCCUGAAGGAACGUUGAAGACGACGACGUUGAUAGGCCGGGUGUGUAAGCGCAGCGAUGCGUUGAGCUAACCGGUACUAAUGAACCGUGAGGCUUAACCUU
rnacentral:rRNA from 1 species